rnacentral:rRNA from 1 species
AUCCCAUUCCGAACUCAGAAGUGAAACACAGUAUCGCCGAUGGUAGUGUGGGGUCUCCCCAUGCGAGAGUAGGUCAUUUCCAGGC